GAUGAACGCUGGCGGCGUGCUUAACACAUGCAAGUCGAACGAUGAAGCCCAGCUUGCUGGGUGGAUUAGUGGCGAACGGGUGAGUAACACGUGAGUAACCUGCCCUUAACUCUGGGAUAAGCCUGGGAAACUGGGUCUAAUACCGGAUAGGAGCGCCUACCGCAUGGUGGGUGUUGGAAAGAUUUAUCGGUUUUGGAUGGACUCGCGGCCUAUCAGCUUGUUGGUGAGGUAAUGGCUCACCAAGGCGACGACGGGUAGCCGGCCUGAGAGGGGGACCGGCCACACUGGGACUGAGACACGGCCCAGACUCCUACGGGAGGCAGCAGUGGGGAAUAUUGCACAAUGGGCGCAAGCCUGAUGCAGCGACGCCGCGUGAGGGAUGACGGCCUUCGGGUUGUAAACCUCUUUCAGUAGGGAAGAAGCGAAAGUGACGGUACCUGCAGAAGAAGCACCGGCUAACUACGUGCCAGCCGCCGCAGUAA
rnacentral:rRNA from 1 species